GAGGUUAGGUUAAGGGGAAUGUUGUCUGGCUCGAGGUCAUGUGGCGCACAUGCAUGCAUGGUGGGAUGAGCUAUUUGAACUCGGACCAGGCUUCAUUCCUCUCAACCAACAGCUGCUCU
rnacentral:pre_miRNA from 15 species